rnacentral:rRNA from 1 species
AACGAACGCUGGCGGCACGUUUUAAGCAUGCAAGUCGAAUGGCAGCAGGGGCAACUCUGUGAGAAUGGCGAACGGGUGAGUAACACGUAGGUGAUCUGCCUUGAGGAUGGGGAUAGCCUGUGGAAACACAGGGUAAUACCGAAUGAGCUGACGAGACUUUGGUUUUGUUAGUAAAGGUGCUACGGCACCGCCUUGAGAGGAGCCUGCGGCUGAUUAGCUAGUUGGUGGGGUAAGAGCUUACCAAGGCGACGAUCAGUAGCCGGCCUGAGAGGGUGUAGAGCCAAACUGGAACUGGGACACGGUCCAGAGUCCUACGGGAGGCAGCAGCUAAGAAUCUUCCGCAAUGGGCGAAAGCCUGACGGAGCGAUGCCGCGUGAUCGAUGAAGGUCGAGAGAUUGUAAAGAUCUUUUCUACAUGAGGAAUAAGUCUGGGAGGGAAUGCCCGGAUGUUGACGUUAGUGUAGGAAUAAGCCCCGGCUAAUUACGUGCCAGCAGCCGCAGUAA